CUUAAAAACACCCAACGGCAAGCGAAAAUUUUCGCAGCUCCAGGUUUUCAGUGUUAGAAAGUAAAUAAAAAAAAUUGACGCUGAAAAAAUCACCGCAGGCCGCUAAAAAAAUUAAAUAAAACGUGUUAAAAUCGCGUAAAAAAGUCAGUUUAAUACCGGCUUUUCAAAAUCUCGCCCCCUUUGGUUAUUGAAUUUUCAACUCGUGGAGGGAGAAUAUCGUGUUCGAAGCUUGUUGUAAAACAAAUAUAACAAAUCUGAGAACUAAAGGAUUGUGAAACACUAAGAUGAGUGACUUCCAGACGCAGCAGGCCAGCAUCAACCAAUCCCAAGCGUUGGCCCAGGCGAUAGAGCGUGCCAAGCAGAUUGCAGCCAAGAUCCAGCCGAAUCAGUCCGUAGGACAAGUCGGACCAUCGCCUCCAUUUGGUGGACCCGGAUCGGGAGGUGGUGGCGGAGGCGGUGGUUCCGGCUUUAAGCGCCACAAUGAUGACGGGGACAGCGGUCCUGAUUGCAAACGCUCCUUUGGCAGUCCGGAUUACGGCCAAGGCAACAACUCAAAUAUGAGCAGUGGUAGUGGAGGUGGUGGGGGUGGUGGUGGCGGUGGAUCCGGUGGCGCCAGUAUGACCCAGGCGAUGGCUCAGGCGGCGGCGGUGGCAGCGAGAUUGGCAGCUUCCGCUGGCACCUCUUGUGAGGAGCAAAUUCGCGUCCCGGAGUCGGCUGCUAAUGGGUUCUGUGGCCGGGGAGCCAACGACACCAUUACCCACAUCCAAGCGGAAUCCGGUGCCAAGCUGCAGAUGAUGCAGGACCAGGAGCGUGUGAUCAUGCUGCGCGGUCAGAGAGACACCGUGACCAAGGCUCGGGAAAUGAUCCAACAGAUGGCCAAUAGAGCUGGCGGUGGCCAGGUGGAGGUGUUGCUUACCAUCAACAUGCCACCCCCUGGACCCAGUGGUUAUCCGCCGUACCAGGAAAUCAUGAUUCCAGGCGCAAAAGUGGGUCUGGUCAUAGGCAAGGGUGGUGACACCAUCAAACAGCUCCAGGAGAAGACCGGCGCCAAAAUGAUAAUUAUCCAGGAGGGUCCCAAUCAGGAAGUGAUCAAGCCGCUCCGGAUCUCCGGUGAUCCUCAGAAGAUAGAGCAUGCCAAGCAAAUGGUUCUGGACCUGAUUGCGCAAAAGGAUGCCCAGGCCCAGCAGCAGGGUGGACGAGGUGCUGGUGGAGGAGGCGGUGCCGGCGGCCCUGGACUGGGCUACAACAACUUUAACAACGGAAACGGCGGCGGCGAAAGCGUCGAGGUCUUUGUACCGAAAAUAGCUGUGGGCGUUGUUAUCGGAAAGGGCGGCGACAUGAUCCGGAAAAUACAGACGGAGUGCGGCUGCAAGUUGCAAUUCAUUCAGGGAAAGAACGACGAGAUGGGAGAUCGAAGAUGUGUGAUUCAGGGCACUCGGCAGCAGGUCGAGGAUGCCAAGCGAACAAUUGACGGUCUUAUUGAGAAUGUGAUGCAACGCAAUGGCAUGAACCGGAAUGGAAACGGAGGAGGUGGUGGUGCCCAGGGAGGAGGCGAUACUGGAAACUCCAACUACGGCUAUGGUUAUGGCGUAAAUCACGCCCAAGGUGGUCGGGAGGAAAUUACCUUCCUGGUCCCAGCUUCCAAGUGUGGUAUUGUCAUUGGACGCGGAGGAGAAACCAUUAAGCUAAUUAACCAGCAGUCUGGAGCCCACACCGAAAUGGAUCGGAAUGCCAGCAACCCUCCCAAUGAGAAGCUUUUCAAGUCCAAGGGCACAACCGAUCAAGUGGAGGCCGCCCGUCAAAUGAUCUCCGAAAAGAUAAACAUGGAAUUGACCGUCAUUUCGCGGAAACCAAUCGGCGGCAGCAGUGGUCCCAACAACGCACACCACAAUCAACAGCAGGGCGGCUACGGUGGUCCCAAUCCGAUGCAGGGCGGAGAUCCGAACGCUGCCGGUGCCUACCAACAGCAGCAGCAGCAGCCUUGGGGUCCCUAUGGCCAGCAAGGAUGGGAUCCAUCCGGUCAGCAGCAGCAACAGCAAAUGGCCAUGGCAGCCAAUCAGGGUGGAGCGGCUGCUGCAGGAGGAGCUGGUGGUCAGGACUACUCGCAACAGUGGAUAGAGUACUACAAGCAAAUGGGCUGCCACCGAGAAGCUGAGAUGAUUGAACAGCAGAUGAAAGCGAAACAGGCGGGCGGUGUUUCAGGGCCAGCCCAACAACAGCAACAGCAGCCCCAGCAACAACAACAACAGCAACAGCAGCAGCCUCAACAACAACAACAGCAGCAACAACAACAAGGCGGAAAUGCCGCUGGCGGAGCCGACUACAGUGCCCAAUGGGCGGAAUACUACAGAAGCGUUGGCAAAAUCGAGGAGGCAGAGGCCAUUGAGAAGACGCUGAAGAACAAACAACCACAAAACGGAGCACCGGGUGGUGGCCAGACCAACACUCCAAAUCCCGGCCAGGGAGGCCCCAAUCCCGGUCAGCAACAACCCAACCCAGCUGCGGCAGCUGCUGCAGCAGCGGCGGCGGCGGCAGCGGCUGGCGGUUAUGGCCAAGGCAUGACGCCCAGCCAAUACGCACAGUACUCGCAGUAUUACGCAGCAGCGGCUGCAGCUGGUGGGCAACCGUCGCAGGGGGCACCGCAGCCGGGUGGCGGACAAGGUGGUCCACCGGCUGGCUACCCAGGCGGCUAUCCUGGCGGUGGAUAUGGCGGGUAUCCUGGCCAACAGCAGCAGCAGCAGCAGCAACAACAGCCGAAAUCGCACAAAAACGAUAAACACUGAGAUCCCACGAAAGAAAUUAGGACGAGAGGGGGAGGAGCAACGGAAGCAACGGGAAGGAAAUGCAUGUGGGAGUGGAAGAAGAAGCCGAAGUGGACGAUGCUGCGUCCAAGUUGCGAUGCGGGUGCCUUGAUUGGGUGAUCUAUUGUUCUACUAUGUCCUAUGUCUUUUAUCCCCCAAAAAAAUAGCUUAACAGUUCAAACACAACAAAAACAAGGCAAAAGCAAAUGUUUUAAAUGCAAUAUAAAAAAAAUAUUAAUAGCACCUAAUGAGAAUGCUUCAUGAACGGAUAAAAAGAACAGCACACGGAAGACGAUGCGCGGAGACGGAGGCCAAAGUCAAAAUUCCCAGGAGCAGAAGGACGACGAUCGAAUCAAUCAACAGCCAUUGAAGUGGAAGCAAGAGCAGAAUCAAUGUCGCACUAUUGCAUAAUUGUAAAUUAUAUAAAUCACUCUGUCUAUUUGGAUAUUGCGUAUAAUUUUUGCCCACAUAGCCUGUAAGAAAUUUUCCCUGAGAUCCUAAGUCUAUUACUAUACUAUAAUCUAUUCUAACAAAUUAAUAGAGAAAUAAUGUUCUGCAGUUCAUUAUCAUACUUCCCCAUUUUUUACACACAACACAACAUAACACACACACACUCCGAGAUUAGAUAAUUGAAUCCGUUUUGGGUGUUUUGUUCUCCGAUCUGACAUACAUCUGCAUACAUAUUUCGCAUAUUUAUUUUAUUUUUUACCGUCAAUUUAGGAAAAAUCUACCUGAACCGCAGUGACAAGACAACAUUUGCGAGAGUUCUUAAUUGCAAUAAUCUAAAUACUAUAACUAUAUAUACUAUAUACUAUAGUAGCAAACAUACAUAGAUGAUUAUGAUAUAAAUUUUUAAUAAAUCAACAAUCGAGUCUCUCUCGUAAUUAGCUUAGCUUAGUUAUAAUGCCAAAACAAAAAAACCAAUUGAACAACAUGAUCAACGAUAUCGACUCUGGUCUGGUAAGAUUUUUUAACUUGAAAAUUGUAUAAAAACGAAUGUAAAAUUUUUGAUUCUGCUGCAAUAUUUCGGCGUGUCCCCAUUUAAUUAAUCUGACAUAUUCAAAUUAAUAUUUUCACCUUUCAGUGGAGGCAGUAUAUAAUUACGUUUUUAUUAGCAAAUAAGGAGAGAGCCGACACUUAUUUUCUCAUAUCUGACUAAGUCUGGACAUUUAGGAAAUUUUAUUAGCAAUUUUAUUACCAUUAUGCAAACAUAUAUAAGUAUGUACUUUCAGAGGCGGCUCGUCAGACCAGUUCUUAAAAGAAUACGAAUACCAAUACCGAAAGCAAAACCCCAAAACUAAAUCACACUUUAACAAAAGAAACAUGAACAAAUUGAAACAAGAUAUUGUCAAGCUUGGUAAGAUCGUGUGUUGUUAUUACUGUCUACUGUCUAUAUAAAACUAUUGAUACUGAAAAUCCAACAAUGAAUAUACUUACUCAAAUGAAUGUAGGUCUACCAUUAUAUAUAUAUUUAUAUAAAAGUAACUUUGGUAUAAUCUAAACUAAGUUUUACGUCUCCCCGAAACAAAAAAAAUAUCUGAUUGUUGCUACAGCAGAUAACCCAUAUUGUAACCGUUUGGCCGUUUGGAAGGGCUGGCCCAGAUCGGAGCUCUCCACAGUUCCAGAUCCUGGUCCGCCCCAAGUUCGGCUUAGCAUUGAAUAAACAUUUAAUAUAAUAUAUACCGUAUAAUAUAUAUUGAUCAGAUAUUGCUAGCAUAUAGCACUUUAGUGCUUUGCGUCAUAUUGCGUUUCUAUUUAAUCCAUA